AAAUUAUUUUAUUAUUGUAUUAGAUUUAUAGUGCUGGUAUUUUAUCUAUGAUAAGUGAAGUUUGGUGCUCUUUUGGGUUUAUUUUGAGGGGUAUAUUCAGCAAAAUAAGUUGAGAAGAUUUUCAUUGUUCUGCUUCUUUGGUACAAUUUCUUUUUAUUAAUUUGCAUUAUUUAAUUAUUAAUUUUCAUGUUCCAGAAGUGGAGCUGGAAGCACAUUCCCCCCCGAGAUUGUGCAUGGUAGAUUUCUCUUUACAUACAUACACAGAGAAGAGGGUAAAGCAUGAACAUCCUCCUGAGAACUGAUGGGAGAAAGUGGGGGCUUGCUAGCCAAAAGGAGAAACUGCUGGUAACUUAUUCCUCAUCACUCGGUGAUUAUAGGGCAGUCAGUUGGUAGACUCAUUGCGAUGGAUUCUGCUCCAGGGCAAGCAGAGUUUCCGUAAUGGGUCAGUGGGUGCAUUAGGUGGGUAGCCCUGGGCAUCCUGUAGGAUGUGGGGCUGGGGUUGUGGGGCUGGAGUUCCUAAAGCAAAAAUGAUCCAUCAUGAGAAAACCAAACCAAACCCCAAAUCUGAUCACAUAAUUGUAUUUCAAAUAGAGCAGUGAUGAAGAAAUCCAGAUUGCUGCAAUGGACAUAAGAGGAACCAGCUUUAUAUCUAAAGACCCCUGGCAUCAACUUCUUUGGCUCUCACUUUGGUGGCUUAGAUCGGAGAGUGUUAUUUGCUAGAGGAGAGGGAUGGUCACAAGGUUGCAGAAGAAUUGUCCCAGGAAGUCCUAAAAAAAAUUGCACUCCUUCAGGUUUACUUUCCUGAGAGUCAUGUGGAGAAAUGGUUUCCUUUUAAAUGGUGGCUUUGCUCUGUUUUUGUUUUUUCUUAAAGCAUUCACUUUUCUUUUCCAAUAUCAAUUCUGUAGUUACAUACCACUUUUUUUUUAACAUAAGACUUUUCCACUCCAGGUCAAAAUAUAACUUAUUUGAGGCUAGACCUAACAUUCUCAAAGACCUCAGAAAAAUAAUAGUAACAGUGUCAUGGGCAUCUAUAUCUUAUUUCUUACCUUAAAAGGGAAUGCCUUUGGUGUUUGAGAUGACUAUUCCUUCUCAUGAUAUGGGGUAUUUUUAUAUUAUUAAUGUUAUUAUUAGAAAUAACUGUUAAAAUUUUUCAGAUGCUUUGGAACAACAAUGGAGUCAUAUGAUUUUUUUCUUUUGUGCAUUACAGCAGUCCCCACCUUAUCUGAGUGUUUACUAUUCAUAGUCUCACUUUCCGUGGUUUCAGUUGACCGCAGUCAACUGCGGUCCGGAAGCAGAUGAUCCUCCUUCUGACACAGCGUCAGAAGGUCAAUGGUAUUCCAACGCUGUAUCGUAGAGACUGUGUCCUUCGCCUCACUUCAUGGCAUCCGUAGGCAUUUUAUCAUCUCACAUCAUCCAUCAUGAGAAGGGGGAGACCAGCAAUGCUGGGUGCUGUGGGAGACACAAAUGUCUGCAGGCCGUGGAAACCCUCUGCUGAAGAUGUGGAAAUUGAGGCCGACAGAGACUAGGUGAUUUGCCCAAGUGUAGGUACUCUUCACCAAGAAGAAGGCAGUGGAGAGCAUAGUGAAUUGUACAGACUGUGGCCACACCCGGGCUUGCAUUCCAGAUCUGGC